rnacentral:rRNA from 1 species
UACGGAGGGUGCAAACGUUGCUCGGAAUCAUUGGGCGUAAAGAGCGUGUAGGCGGCUUGUUAAGUCUUGCGUGAAAUCUCGGGGCUCAACCCCGAGCGGUCGUGAGAAACUGGCAGGCUAGAGUGCGGGAGAGGAGAGUGGAAUUCCUGGUGUAGCGGUGAAAUGCGCAGAUAUCAGGAGGAACACCGAUGGCGAAGGCAGGUCUCUGGGCCACUACUGACGCUGAGAAGCGAAAGCAUGGGGAGCGAACAGG